AUGGUUAACGAAGGUAUUGUCUUGGGGCAUAAGAUUUCUAAAAGAGGUAUUGAAGUUGAUAAAGCUAAAGUUGAUUCUAUUGAAAAGAUCUUGUGUCCUAAGGACAUCAAAGGUAUAAGAAGUUUCCUUGGUCAUGCCGGUUUUUAUAGGAGGUUCAUUAAAGACUUCUUAAAAAUUUCUAGGCCUCUCACUAAUCUAUUACAAAAAGAUGUUCCUUUUGUCUUUGAUGAUGAUUGUGUAGAAGCAUUUGAAAUACUUAAGAACGCCUUGAUUUCUGCACCUAUUGUCAGCCACCUGAUUGGAAUUUACCCUUUGAAAUCAUGUGUGAUGCUAGUGAUUAUGAUGUGGGUGCUGUUCUAG
rnacentral:rRNA from 1 species